UUGUUAAGGAACAACAUUGAUUGUCACGUGUCAUUAUCUAAUUGGUUGGUAAAAUAGUUAAUGGAAAUUAACGACCAAUAAGACAAUGACACGUGACAAUCAACGAUU
rfam:Glycine soja cultivar W05 scaffold319_11, whole genome shotgun sequence.